rnacentral:lncRNA from 1 species
GGGCCAUUCUCCUCCCAGUUCCAAGGAAAUGGAAUGAAUUGUCCUAAAGUAGGUCAUCAUAAUGAUGCCCAAGGGGCUGAUUAUGCUGUGUCCGCUUGCCCCUAGGAGGAUAGCCCCCUUUCCCCUCAGAGAUGGCGUCCCCAGGGGGCUGCCCUUGCUGCUUAAGAAAAGCAAGGUCAAGAAAAUCAGGGUCUGAAUUCCAGGUAUCAAAGAGCUUCAUAUCUCCUGGGCCUCUUUCCUCCACAGCCUUGUGCAGCAUUGGAAGUCCUAAAUAACAUUACCAACUGCCCGAAAAUUGAACCGCUUAAGAGAAACAUGCAGUUUCUUCUGGGCAACAGCAGUAGGAAUGAAACCUGCCUCGAGGUUCAAGACACCAAGAUCCAGCUGAGUAGGUUUCUGAAGGACCUACAUACUUUUUUGUUGAAGAAUAAUAGAGAUGGAAUAUUCAAACCAAGUCUGGGAAUCUUUACUAAAGAAUGAGAGCCCAAGCCCACAUCUCCAGAUAGAAGAUUCAUCCUACAGACUAACUUUCACUUUAGGCACAUUUAUCGGCAGGGGAGGGGGAGGGAUGUGAAAGGGAAGGGAAGGGGAAGAGAGAUUUGCUUAGCUUAGCCCUCAGCCUGCACUGCCCCAUCUCAGGAAAACUGAAGGCAGAUUACUCUUUGCUCUCAGGUCUCCAAAGGGCUUCUUUCUUUCCCAAAGAAGGGGUUCCUUUGAAGCUUACUGAGCCUCAGCCCUGCUCCCGUCUAGACCUCCCCACUACCAGCUAGGACACAGCUUCCAGCUGCUCUGGACUUGACAAACAAGAGCCCUGGCUGGCCCCAGCCUGGCUUGGAGGAGUUUAGACCUCUGUGGCUUGGAAAACCAAAACCAAAACCAAAAAAGAUGUGCAUUUCUCGUUUGAUUUGGCAGUAUUACCCAGCACUACCCUCUCCUAGCUGGGCAGUCCAGGAGGAGGGGACACUUUUCUGACAGGACCCUGUUGCUCUUUAGGUCUAAGAGAGCAACUUAGGGACAUUUCUUCUUGUCUUAUUUAUUGUUUUGUAUUAUUUAAAGCAGUUAUUCCUUCAUGUCUUGGAGAUAGGGGCUAUUUCAGUAGGCCUAGCCGCAGAGGUGAAGACUCAGCGUGUGGGCACUAAAACCAGUGGACAUUUAUGGUCCCUGACAUAUGUCUAUACAGUACUGUAUUUCAAAACCUGCUACCUCACUGUGUCCGCUGAGUCAGGUGGGGCCAAUCAAAGCCAGGAGGUAGAGAAAGGGCGGAAGAAGAGGGUGAUUAAUUAGACUGUGACUGGCUUUUCUGCCUCCCAAACUGUUAUAUGACAUUACAGCAAAAUGAUAAUUUAUUUUUCUUCCACAUAUUUAAAAUAAAUUUAUUAUUAAUCUAUAUUACUGCA